GAUGAACGCUGGCGGCGUGCCUAAUACAUGCAAGUAGAGCGAACGGACGAGAAGAUUGCUUUUCUGAUGUUAGCGGCGGACGGGCGAGUAACACGUGGAUAACCUACCUAUAAGACUGGGAUAACUUCGGGAAACCGGAGCUAAUACCGGAUAAUAUUUUUAACCGCAUGGUUCAAAAGCGAAACACGGUCUUGCUGUCUCUUAUAGAUGGAUCCGCGCUGCAUUAGCUAGUUGGUAAGGUAACGGCUUACCAAGGCAACGAUGCAUAGCCGACCUGAGAGGGUGUUCCGCUACACAGUAUGAUAGUCACGCACCGGACUCCCACGGGAGGCAGGGGUACAGAAAUAGGCCCCAUGGGAGAGGGCCGGAGGGAGCAACGUCGCGUGGCAGAUGUUGGGCUGCCGGUGGCAAGAGUUGGUUGUUGUGGAAGUUCUGCUGAGUAUGUAACUGCGCCCAUCUCGACGGCACCUGAUCAGAAAGCCACGGCUAACUACGUG
rnacentral:rRNA from 1 species